rnacentral:rRNA from 1 species
UAGGGAAUCUUCCACAAUGGACGAAAGUCUGAUGGAGCAACGCCGCGUGAGUGAAGAAGGUUUUCGGAUCGUAAAGCUCUGUUGUUGGUGAAGAAGGAUAGAGGCAGUAACUGGUCUUUAUUUGACGGUAAUCAGCCAGAAAGUCACGGCUAACUACGUGCCAGCAGCCGCGGUAAUACGUAGGUGGCAAGCGUUGUCCGGAUUUAUUGGGCGUAAAGCGAGCGCAGGCGGAAUGAUAAGUCUGAUGUGAAAGCCCACGGCUCAACCGUGGAACUGCAUCGGAAACUGUCAUUCUUGAGUGCAGAAGAGGAGAGUGGAACUCCAUGUGUAGCGGUGGAAUGCGUAGAUAUAUGGAAGAACACCAGUGGCGAAGGCGGCUCUCUGGUCUGCAACUGACGCUGAGGCUCGAAAGCAUGGGUAGCGAACAGGAUUAGAUACCCUGGUAGUCCAUGCCGUAAACGAUGAGCGCUAGGUGUUGGGGCACUUCCCGGUCCUCAGUGCCGCAGCAAACGCAUUAAGCGCUCCGCCUGGGGAGUACGACCGCAAGGUUGAAAC